CCCACAAUGAGGGCCGGUGGCCAUGCCCUCCACUCCCACAAACCAUUAAGUUAGGGGAAAGGCAUUUUUCUGGGGGAAAAACAAUGUGAGAUGUAAAAGAAGUGGCCUGGCGCACUCGAAAUUGGAGUCUCACCUCGUCCCCCCAGCUACCUGUUUAUUAGCUCUUUCCUCCGGACCCCGAUCACCUACCUACAGGACACCUCGUAAAAAGCUACUUGGGCAUCAUAGGAACAAGGAUUUGGACCGUUCUUUGUGGAAUGGGUUUGACGAUUCCGUCUCAAGGGACUAAAUCCAUCUGUCACAAAUGACUGAUAACUGAAGUUUAAGAUGCACUUACCUGACAAAGCCUCAAUAGCUUUUAUGGCCCAGUUUUGGUCGGGGAAAUCCACGAAGGCAUAGCCGGAUUUGAGCAGAACCUGCUCGGUCAGAGGGAGCUUCCUCUCGUCAAAGAGCUGCUUCAAGUCCUCGACGGUGACCGAGGGGCUCAGAUUCCCAAUGUAUAGUUUGUUCAUGAUCCUAAUGGAAAUCUCGAUGUGCACAUAAAAUCGGGAUAUAAAAAUACAAAUGGAAAUCUAAAAAUAAAAUUUAAAACAAAACGGAAAAACUGCAAAAAGCAGUGAUCACCCCCCAAAUCCAGUCGACCCCCGGCUCCAACUCUGCUCCUGGUCAAACACUUUUGACUGGGGUGGGAAAAAAGUGUCGCUGCGACGCUACUCUGGAUCCUACAAGCACCGCCUCUAAAUAAAAUCUGCCUUAAAAUGUCAGAAAAUUUGUUUGCAGCCAGAACGUGUUUGCGAACCACAGCAUCCGUGUUGAGAACGAACUGACAUGUAGGUGCCAAGUGGCAUGAAGAUCACCCACCGGGAAAUGAAUUGGGUGGGUUAUGGGGUCAGUCAGGUCGUUCAUUCAAACCCUUCAUAAUACCAGUAGUGUAGUGCGAAUGGUUUGCUACUUGAAAGAAACACAAGAAAUCGUUAGCUACGUCGAGCUAAGUCUAAACGCAUGGUGGUCACAAUACUGGAUAAAUGAAGAAGGAUCAAAUGGAAACAUCUGCCCCACCCUCAAAGUACACAUACGGUUGCUUGUGAGUAGGCUAUUAACUGUAUGCGAACAUUUCCGUUAAGAAGGUACAAAGAAAAUGUGAUAUCGACAAUUGCAGUAACGCCAACCGUUUCUGGUAAUUGCCAAUGACAAUAUACACGCUGAGCUAGGGGCGUGCUGGAUUUCUGUUUGCGCACAACGCGCACUCGUUUAUUAUUGGUCCAGGUGUGUCACAUGGGGCAUCUAGCCCUAAAAGAGGAGAGUGCAGAUUGUGUGCGAAGAGAAAUGUAACACGCCGAAGUUCAGAGCGGAGACUCGGCCCAAGGAAAGAAUCACUUUAUUGGUGAUGGCCUCUCGAGCUCUUAUUGAUGUAUCUUUGUCUCCGUAUCUUUCGGGCGUUUUCAAGACCAGAUUAAUUGACAAUAAAGAACACAGAUUCAUUGUUGUUAAAUAAUGAAUUCACGGCGGAUCUUUUCACGACGGUGGCAGGAAAUGGAGUGUGGGGUUCUGAUGGAAAGUAACAAAUACGCCGUACAACGGGUAAGGCGCUGGAGGUGCCAAGCCUUAAUAUUUAUAGGAUGGUACAUUGAAUGUGAAUCAUUUUUAAAAGUGUACGGACAUAUAACAUUGUUUUAUGCAAACUCCCACUGACUCUUAUCAUGAUUUACAUAUGUAAUAAACAUAAACCGUAGCAAAAACUACAGUCAAACAUCAUUUGAGUGUAGUCAGAUAGAAAUAGGAUUGAAAUAAGUACAAAUGAACAUUACCAAAAUAGCAGAAAAAACACAGAUGCAGUAUGUUUUUUUUUAAAUGACUAUCAAAUGAAUUAAUGUCUUACAACUCUCAGUAAAAUAAAUGUGGUAAAUAUCAUCUUAGGUCUAGGAGUUGAUUGUGGACCUUUAAAGAACAGAUAUGUAAUUUCAAAUAAGAUUUUGGACCUUCAGAUAAUUUCAAAAGUUAAAACAUUUUUGAUAUAACAAAUCCUGGCCAUGCCAGUACUCUUGAGUCAGUUACGACCACAAGUCAGAGAUCGUGGAGAAUUGUUGGGAUAGACAGAAUUAGCCAAUUGCAGUUUCUCAUAUGCUAUUGUUCCACAGCAACUACACAGGUCUGGUCUUCAUUGCAGAGUUGUAAGAAAUACAUUUUCACAGAAGUCAGAGCAUAAAAGGCGUAAGUACAGAUUUGUCAAACUGAAUCUUAAUGGCACUCAUUUUGUGAGAAGCUGAAAGAGCUUUGGAGACGUUUAUCAGCAGGGUGCUUGGCAAAAAGGUGAAGGUCAUUUUGAGAAGAACGUCACACCCUAUGUUAAAUAUGGAGGUGUGGAAGACAAAAUGAAUGUUCUUGACAGGCAUAGCCAUAUAAAAACCUCAAUCCAAACAGAUUUCUGAAAGAUUUUCACGAGCAAGAACCAAAAGUUUCAGAACAAUAGUGCUGAAAUAUUUCUUCUUGAGAUGGUGGAACAUCGAAAGACUUGAGGAAAUGUCCUUUUUUUGGCUGGACCACAGACAGCAUGGCCAGCCCUACAAACGCGAAUGUCUGUGACUGAGUGAGUGAUGAAGUUACACCAUUGGUCAGCCGAGUUAUGAAGUCACACCAUUGGUCGGCCGGUCCAGCCAUAUACUAGGUUUUGACCUGGUCUUGUUUGAGAAUAAAUGAUUUUACACCUGCAUUAAUACAAUUUAUUUUGUCAAUUUAGUAAGGGUAUAAAGGCAUGCAGGUUGGAUUUAUACAGUGGUAUGCAAACAUUUGGGCAUGUAUUCUGUUGUAUCUCUAAGUGAAAAGAAGGGUACAAGCUUAAACACAGCAUUUUUCUGCUAAUUUUAAUGCACAAUUGCUACUUAUUUGCUGAAUUUAAAUACAGUUGCUUACAUGCAACCAAUAUCGAAGCUCCAAUAUGAAACAAUUUGGGAAGUGGGCAUUGUGUGAUUUAACAUUAUUCUAUACUGAAAUCAUUAGGCAACUUCUCAGAUCAAUUGAGCGUUUGACUACAACUGCAGUGCUUCUGACGAGGCAUGCCUGUCAGGCUGUGUUGUUGUGUAAUGAAAGGAAUGUGGCAUCAAUCUCACUUGGCUCUCAGUAACCUUCUUUGUUGUAUUCAGUGUUUGAAGGAAAUGGGCAUUAUUGCUUGUACCUUGGAGAAACAAUGCCAAAAAUGUCUAUAAAGCUGAAAGCUUCUGUCUUGGUCUUUUGUUUGCAGGUGCUUUUUGGGCAUCUACACAGAGACGGGCUCAAAAUCAAAGAGGGCGGUCUAAAACCAGAGAGUUUGCAUUUUUCUGAGAAAACUGAUAGAUUAUUAUUAUGAGUAGUUGUCAGUGUGGACAUAAGUUUCUGACUGGACUGUAUACUAUGCUUAUAUUUCAGGAUUUAUGGCUGUAUUUGUUAUUUAUUAAUUCCCUCUCCACCUUAGCUGAUGUAUGGUGAACGUUUAGGUGCUAAAUCGCUGCCCUGCAUCACUCAGGUGGGUGCUACACACUGGUGGUGUUUGACGUCUUUUUUCCCCCUUAUCACUGUAUAGCACUUUUAGCAUCUGGGAAAGUAUGAUAAAAAUGCAGUGUUCUUUCAUUCAUUCAUAUGUGGUUGUCAUUGUGUAAGCUUCUGAUAAAUUCUUCAUGGUGUUCUCGGUCCUAUGUAAAUAAAUUGGAUAUUGUCUUUGUUUUUAUUUUAAUUUACCUAAUAAGAAAAGGUGUAAAAUGGCAGCUGCCAUAUCACCAUGCACCCUGCUCCUGCCAAGUGGUUGAAGCUGAGCAAGUGUGGGCUUUGUUAGUACUUUGAUGGGAGACCCAGGAAAACUAAGUUGUGCUGGAAGUGGGGUGGAGGGCAAUCUUACCUUUGGUUAAAUAAUCCCCAGUGCAGUGAUGGGGACACUGUAGAAGACGCUAUCUUUUGGAUGAGAUGUUGAACUGAAGUCCUGACUCAGUGUGGUCAUUAAAGACCCCAUGACACUCAUUGCAAAGAGUAAGGGGCUCCCUGGUGUCCUGGCUAAAUGCUCAGCCUGGCUGUCUUAACCUGCCACCUAAUCACCCCCUGAUUUAAUUGGCUAAAAAAUGUUCUCUCCCUCUCCGCCUCAGCUGAUGUGUGGUGAGUCUUCUAGUUCAAAAUGGCUGCUGUGCAUCACCCAGAUGGGUGCUACACAUUGGUGGAGUUUCCUCCUCGUCACUGUAAAGCUGUAUAAUGGAAAGCAUUAUAUAAAUGCAACAAAUUAUAUUAGAAAUGACAUAAAUUGUCAAAUGUAGAGUAUUUAUAUUCAUAUAUGAUAAUUAUAUAUAAUAUUAACCAUGAUUUUUAUGGUUAAAGACUGGCUACUCAGUUGCAUUACUUAUCAGUUGAUAUGUGAAAAUAGAAUUGAUUUCUGUAAUUCAACAGUAGCAUAAAGCUAUGUCACAGUAAUAUUUUUUUACAGUGCAGAGCUUAAUAUUCUGACCUGUCUGACAUCUCAUCAGGUUAGCUUAUUCUCAACAACCAUGGGCUCCUCUAAGUAGCCGACUGAGGACUUUAAAAUAAAGAUAAUUGACUCACAAAGCAGGGGAAGACUACAAGAAGAUAUCUAAAUUCUUCCAGCUUGGAAUUUUCACUGUCAGAAACUUUAAGAAACAGUAAGAAAUUCAAGCUAAGGGGAACUGCUGAAGUCAAGGCAAGAUCUGGAUGACUGAGAAAAAAUCUCUGAAAGAACUGCUUAUAGACUUGUAUGUAAAAAAAAAAAAAAAACCACACAUAACACUGCAAAGGACCUGCAGAUUGGUUUAGCGGACACCAGAGUAGUGGUCCACCAGUUCACUAUGCUACAUUGCUUACACAAAAAUUAUCUGCAUGGACAUUUUGUCAGAAGGAAACCUUUCUAGCAGUCUCAUCACAAAGUCAACAUUUGAAGUGUGCAACACUACACUUUCAUAAGCCAGAGAUUUUUAGGAACAAAGUGAUGAGGUCUGAUGAAACAAAAACUCUUUGGCAACAACCACCAGAUAUAUUUGAAGAUAAAAAGGGGAAGCAUUUGAAGAAAAUAACACCUUGCCAAUCGUUAAGCAUGGGUGGAUCUAUUAUGUUUUGGGGUAGUGUGGCAGCCAGUGGCACAGGGAAUAUUUUGUGGGUGUAGAGAAUCAAUUCAACUAAAUAUCAACAAAUCCUGGAAGCUAAUCUCCCGAGUCAGUGAAGAAAUUGAAGGUGAAAAGACGUUGGAUAUUUCAACAAGGCAAUGAUCCAAAGCAUCAUCAAAACAUCAAAAUCAACCAUUAACUACCUAAAGGAAGGAAGGAUUAUGGAUUUGGAUUGGCAUUCAGUCCACAGACUUGAAUAUUACUGAAAAUCUGUGGGGAGAUCUUAAAUAUGCAGUGCAUGCAAGAUGACCUAAGACUAUUUCUACACUAGAGGGGGUCUGCAAAGGAUAGUGGGGGAAAACUCUGAAAGCAAGAAUAGAAAGACUGCUUGCUGGCCUCAAGAAAUGUUUGGAAGCUAUGAUUUCUGCCAAAGGAGGUCUUACUAAGUUUUGACUGUCAGAUUGCCCAAACCUUUGCACGUCACAUUUACUAUUUUACUUUUUUCAGCCUGCUCUGUUCAGCAAAUAAAAAGCCAUUUAUGGAAUCCCAUUGUUGUCAACAUUAAAUAUGCCUUUACAGUAUAAAUAAUCAUUUGUAUAAAUGCAGUAAUUACCAUAAAGAAAAUUUACAAUAA